UUCCUCUCCCUUCCUUCCUUCCGCAGCUUCUGCCCCAGGGACCUCUUCUGUCACUCUCUCCCAUCCCUUCCCCCUCCCCCAAUAACCCUCCCACGUGUGCUCCGUUGUAUGGUAUAACUUUCCUUCUUACCACCACAUCACAAAACAGUAACAGACAGGAGCCUUCUGGUGCCUAUAGGCCUGCUUGGAUCACAGGAGACCGGAAGUGACCGUGUGUCUUUGAGAGCAGUGACAAAAGCUGCCUGGCACAGGGACUUUGCUCUGCAGCCACUGGUUCUCAAUGGUUCUUACUGCCUCAAGACCACAGUCCUCCUCCUGCUAAAGAGAGCCAGCAGCAGCCUGCCUGAGCCUUCCUUCUUGCUGUUCAGCCUCUUAACACUAAUACUCACUAAUAUGUGGGAUGUGUACUCUGGAUCUCUGGGGAGAGAAUAUCACCAAACUCUGCAUCCUGGGUCAAGGGUAUUUCGUCUGGCACCCUCGUAACCAUCGUGGGACAUGGAGGGUAAAUAGCACCUCUAUUCCUGAGGAAACUGAACUAGAGUGCUGGAAGACAGUCGAGUCACUGACGAGUCUGCCAAGUCACAGUACCAAUCUUGAAAUGCUUAUUAUGUCCAGCUUGGUUUAUUUAUUUUG